UGCCUACAUAACAGGGCAGAGCUGUUAAGUUUUUGCAGCCGCUGUUAAAGCUCUUUGGCGUUUCGAUGGAAAGCUUUGGACAGCUGAGAGCUCGCUCUCGCUCUCCCCGAAGCUAACGCAGAAGCAGCCGCCGACGCAAGCCGUUGUACCGGUACCGGUGUCUGUCGCCAGACAGACGGGCAGCAGGCAGCAGCAGACUCUGGGCAGCAAGCAGGCAGGCAAGCAGUGGAAAGCACAAUACAAACACAAGCUGCUUUCUCAUUCGCCGAGAAACUCGUACGAUGUGCAGAAGAAUGAUUCAACAAAAGGGAAAGAAGUAAGUGACGAAGGCAGUUCUGUUGGCGGUCGGUCGGUCUCCCCCAGAGCGUCGCUAGAAGAAGCGGAAGAACAAGAAACAGCGGACGCCCGAAAAUGCUAUGUUGCUGCCGGCAAACGAUGGCAAAUCGGCACACUCACCUUUUUGUAGGUAGGUACUGUGAUAGUGAGCGAGCGAGAGAGAGAGCUUAUCGUUUUUUCUGCUCAUCCAAAGCAUUUCGAUGCUAUGUUUAUGUUUAUACCCCUGCAUCAGGUAUUACGAUUUUUACUAGAGGUCUGCAACACUUAGAAGAUGGAAUCUUCUUAGUAGGGAACAGUACAACAUAUGGGAUAGCGCGCAGUCGUAAUAUAUUUAUACCAAGCGAAGGUAUUAAAGUGUAGAUAACAAAUACUAUUACAUA